AUUGAACGCUGGCGGCAGGCCUAACACAUGCAAGUCGAACGGCAACAGGAAGAAGCUUGCUUCUUUGCUGACGAGUGGCGGACGGGAGAGAAAUGUCUGGGCAACUGCGUGAUGGAGGGGGCUACCUACUGGAAACGGUAGCUAAUACCGCAUAACGUCGCAAGACCAAGGAGGGGGACCUUCGGGCCUCUUGCCAUCGGAUGUGCCCAGUUGGGAUUAGCUAGUAGGAGGGGUAACGGCUCACCUAGGCGACGAUCCCUAGCUGGUCUGAGAGGAUGACCAGCCACACUGGAACUGAGACACGGCCCAGACUCCUACGGGAGGCAGCAGUGGGGAAUAUUGCACAAUGGGCGCAAGCCUGAUGCAGCCAUGCCGCGUGUAUGAAGAAGGCCUUCGGGUUGUAAAGUGCUUUCGGCGGGGAGGAAAGGAGUAAAGUUAAUACCUCUGCUCAUUGACGUUACCCGCAGAAGAAGCACCGGCUAACUCCGUG
rnacentral:rRNA from 1 species